GGAGUUAGCCGGUGCUUCUUCUGUGAGUGAUGUCCUUCCUGCCGGCUAUUAACCCGCAGGCCUUCUUCCUCACUGAAAGUGCUUUACAACCCGAAGGCCUUCUUCACACACGCGGCAUGGCUGGAUCAGGGUUGCCCCCAUUGUCCAAUAUUCCCCACUGCUGCCUCCCGUAGGAGUCUGGGUCGUGUCUCAGUCCCAGUGUGGCUGAUCAUCCUCUCAGACCAGCUACGGAUCGUCGCCUUGGUGAGCCGUUACCUCACCAACCAGCUAAUCCGACAUAGGCUCAUCCGAUAGCGCGAGGCCCGAAGGUCCCCCGCUUUCCCCCGUAGGGCGUAUGCGGUAUUAGCCUGGGUUUCCCCAGGUUAUCCCCCACUACCGGGCAGAUUCCUAUGCAUUACUCACCCGUCCGCCGCUCGCCACCAGGGAGCAAGCUCCCCGUGCUGCCGCUCGACUUGCAUGUGUUAGGCCUGCCGCCAGCGUUCAAUCUGAGCCAGAAUCAAACUCUGA
rnacentral:rRNA from 1 species